CCCUUAGAUGUUCUGAACCGCACGCGUGUUACACUGAUGCAUUCAACGAGCUUUACCUUGGCCGAGAGGCCUGGGAAAUCUUUUUAGCAUGCAUCGUGAUAGGGAUCGAUUAUUGCAAUUAUUAAUCAUGAACGAGGAAUUCCUAGUAAACGCAUUUCAUCAAAAUGCAUUGAUUACGUCCCUGCCCUUUGUACACACCGCCCGUCGCACCUACCGAUUGAGUGGUCCGGUGAAGUCUCGAGAUUGUGGCAAUCUCCUUUAUUGGAGUUUGACUGCGAGAACUUGCCUAAACCUUAUCACUUAGAGGAAGGUGAAGUCGUAACA
rnacentral:rRNA from 1 species